CCCGGUAUAAUAUGGCGUGGAGACUUGAAUACGGGCUUCAGGUAGGUACCUCACUGUGUUAUCUUCGAGAAUGAGGG
rnacentral:lncRNA from 1 species